rnacentral:rRNA from 1 species
AAAGUUGAAAAGAACUUUGAAGAGAGAGUUCAAGAGUACGUGAAACCGUUCAGGGGUAAACCUGAGAAACCCAAAAGAUCGAAUGGGGAGAUUCAUCGUCAGCUCAUUUUGUAUAUAUGCAGGGUAUGAUAUGGAUUACUACUCUGUUAGUAUUGUCUGUACAUUUUUGUAUAUUUUAUUGCAAGAUGUGGUCGGCGUGCACUUCUCCCCUAGUAGGACGUCGCGACCCGUUGAGAUUGUUGGUCUACGGCCCAAGUGGGAGCUUUUGAUAAAUUUUAUUUAUUGAUAACCCUUGGUGUUACCUGACUGGCACUCGUCGGUAAUCGCAUGGUAUUGAGUCGCAAUUAAUUUGCGUCCAUUUUCAUCGCAAGCGAGGUUAGUUUGCCGAUAGUGCGGACCUAGUGCCGUCAUUGGUGCUAAUCAGCUGUUGGUUGUAUGAAAUUCUAGGACUGACUCAUUGAAGUACCUGUCAGCGAUGCUACUGCUUUGGGUACUUUCAGGACCCGUCUUGAAACACGGACCAAGGAGUCUAACAUGUACGCGAGUCAUUGGGAUUUUUAUAAAUUAAACCUAAAGGCGUAAUGAAAGUAAAGGUCGUCCUUGUGUCGACUUAGGGAGGAUGGACUGUGUUAUGAUAUAGUCUCGCACUCCCGGGGCGUCUCAUUCUCAUUGCGAGAA